AACACUAAACAUAACUUAAAUUUAAAUGACAGCUUUCUAUAGAAAAGUUGAGUCCUGUUCACGGACUAUUUUGACCAUCUUAAACUUAAUAUCUUUCAAAACUGUACAAUAUGCAAAUAGUUCAAGUUUAUACCUUUCUAAUGACUACUCGCACGCGUUCAUACGAUUUUUCUACAAUUUAUGGCGAUUUUUAUAAAACUGCCUGUCAUUUCAGAAGUGAUUUCGGACCAGUCUGUGAAGAUGUUCAUUUUCACACUAGUUUGAGACCACUAAAAAUCAUAAUAAAAAUUAGGAACAAAGUAGACUCAUUUUAUAAACUCUCAGAGGUGNUUCAUACGAUGUUUCUACAAUUUAUGGCGAUUUUUAUAAAAUUGCCUGUCAUUUUAGAAGUGAUUUCGGACCAGUCUGUGAAUAUGCUCAUUUUCACAUUAGUUUGAGACCACUAAAAAUCAUAAUAAAAAUUAGGAACAAAUUAGACUCAUUUUAUAAACUCUCAUAGGUGACGGAUUCAGUUUUUGACUUACAAUGAUUUUUCUAUGAGUUUUCUAAAAACAGGGACAGUAAAGGGUAAAACUGUCAAAAGUGGUUUAUAGAUUUAUUAACACCUUCUAACAUUUUUGAGCAAUGUUUAUACAUUAAGGAAGUUAAAACACAAUCAUUUAAAUAUGUUUAAUUACCAUUUUUACAAAAGUGAUAAGUACAAAAAGGUCUUUAGUAUCAAAC
rnacentral:lncRNA from 1 species